rnacentral:sRNA from 1 species
UUAAGGAACACAGCCUAGGUGCGCCGCGUCCUGCGGCAACGUCUGUGUGACCCCACAUCCUGUGG